rnacentral:rRNA from 1 species
GACGAACGCUGGCGGCGCGCUUAAUACAUGCAAGUCGAGCGAGAACCGGAGCUUCGGCUCCGGGGACAGCGGCGAACGGGUGAGUAACACGUGGGUAACCUGCCCUCGGCACCGGGAUAGCCCGGGGAAACCCGGAUUAAUACCGGACGGCCCUUUCGGUCCUCGGACCGGUCGGGAAAGGUAGCUGCCGCCUCCGGCCGACGAUGGGCCCGGGGCGGAUUAGGUUGUUGGGGGGGUAACGGCUAACCAAGGCUCCGAUCCGUAGCUGGUCUGAGAGGACGAUCAGCCACACUGGGACUGAGACACGGCCCAGACUCCUACGGGAGGCAGCAGUAGGGAAUCUUGCGCAAUGGGCGAAAGCCUGACGCAGCGACGCCGCGUGCGGGAAGACGGCCUUCGGGUUGUAAACCGCUUUCAGGAGGGACGAAGCCACUCGGGUGAAUAGCCCAGAGGGUGACGGUACCUCCAGAAGAAGCCCCGGCUAACUACGUGCCAGCCGCCGCCGUAACAC